AUUAUUAUGAAUUUUGCAAAAACAGUUAAAAAUUAAAAAUAUAACGUAAUACAAAAAAAUGUUUAACUACGUUCAUAAUUCUUGUUUUUAAUAAUUUGAGAGAAAGAUAACUUUGUCCCGGUUCUCUCCUCAACCCACUCUAACUCCCACCCUCAUAAAAAUAUUUAAAUACUUUAUAACAUUGAACGCAUCAUGUAAUCAAUUUUAAUUUUAAAGUGAUGGAAGUAAAAAUGGUCAUUAUAGUCAAAAUUAGUUUAAACUGAAAAAUUUUAUAGGUCAACAAUUACUACUAAUGGAAUUUACAUGUUUUUUCAGGUAAUAUGUUUUUCAAAAAACCAGAGCAAGUCAACAUUGAGUUUUGACAUAUUGAAUAACAUAAAUAUAUAAUAUGGUUCGCACACUAAACAAAUUGAGUAUAAACUAUGAAAAAUAAUAAUAUAAACUGUUUAUUGGGCACAUAAUAACGGUCGGAAAAUUUCACCAAGUUAAAGAUUCAAUUUAGAAGUAUAAAAUCCAAUUCUUUUAAACUUUUAUUAAUCAAGUCGAAUUGAAAACCUAAGUGUGUACUGCACAUAUGUAUAACGUCACCUGUUGUCGUCUAUUUUCGGCAUCCGCCAUUUUCUCCAACAACAUUUCAUGGGUUAGCGGCGGUGAUUGCUGUCCCUCUAACAUCCUCAGUCUCUUUGGCGGAUGUUUUUUCACGACGCUUUCUUCUUCUUCGGUCAACGGAACGCUAAACGCUAUGGCUGUUUGCACACACACACAAACAUACGCGAAAGUAUAAAUUUGCAAAGCGAUCAUUUUAGAUUGAUGUGUGCUGUGAGUUGUUUCUAGUAACAAAUUGGAUCUAGAGUUGGUACUUUUGUGAAGUCAAAACUAGGAAAGCUCGAAAACAGCAGCAGGUAAAAUAGUUUUAAGAAUUCACCAAUGAUCUGCACUCUGCAAAGAGAUAAUUUUUUGUUGUUUGAAUCUAUAGGAUUAUUUUAUUGUUUUAAAAUAGACCUACAUUAACGGAUUUUGAAAACACCUCUUAACACUUCAUCUCACAUCUGGGAUAUUUAAAGAAGCAAUAUAUUAUUAGUAUUUUAAGGGUCAGUCACUGCAACUCCCCCGCAUGCAGUACAGUGUGUACAAUACGUCAAUAUAGUAAUUAUAUACAUUUAUACUAUAUGAAGUACAGAAAUUAUAGCGAUCGUAUAUGUGCAGACAGAUACCUAUGUGCAAUGUAUGCAAUAUAAUAUGUCAAUAUGCAUUUAUAGAUUAUAUCAUUAUACAUUUCAAUAAAUUGUUGAAGCUAGACAGAGAUAGUUGUGGAUUCAGUCUUGAGUUUUGGAGAAAGACUUUUCUUAAAAAGAAAAAAAUUAUCUAGUUAAAAAAGUACAAGCAUAUAUAAAGUAGUAAUACUAUAGUAAUAGUUUAUAUGACACUACCUACAUUAAUAGCGAUAUUAAAAAUAAAAUU